CAGCUUCACCUCUUUAGUUCAACAGAAAAAGUGUCAGACAGCAGCAUGCUGCCACCAAACCUACUGAUCGUGUCGAUAGUCAUCCUACUGGCAACUACAGCAUCUACGGCGCCUGUGGAGGAGAAGGAGGUGGAGGAGGUGGAGACGGAGGCCACAGAGAUGCUGGAGGGGGAGUUGUCAGAGGAGGAGGA